CCUACGGGAGGCUGCAGUGGGGAAUAUUGCACAAUGGGCGCAAGCCUGAUGCAGCCAUGCCGCGUGUGUGAAGAAGGCCUUCGGGUUGUAAAGCACUUUCAGCGGGGAGGAAGGCGUUAAGGUUAAUAACCUUGGCGAUUGACGUUACCCGCAGAAGAAGCACCGGCUAACUCCGUGCCAGCAGCCGCGGUAAUACGGAGGGCGCAAGCGUUAAUCGGAAUUACUGGGCGUAAAGCGCACGCAGGCGGUCUGUCAAGUCGGAUGUGAAAUCCCCGGGCUCAACCUGGGAACUGCAUUCGAAACUGGCAGGCUAGAGUCUUGUAGAGGGGGCUAGAAUUCCAGGUGUAGCGGUGAAAUGCGUAGAGAUCUGGAGGAAUACCGGUGGCGAAGGCGGCCCCCUGGACAAAGACUGACGCUCAGGUGCGAAAGCGUGGGGAGCAAACAGGAUUAGAUACCCGGGUAGUC
rnacentral:rRNA from 1 species